UUAAAUUGAAGAGUUUGAUCAUGGCUCAGAUUGAACGCUGGCGGCAGGCCUAACACAUGCAAGUCGAACGGUAACAGGAAGCAGCUUGCUGCUUCGCUGACGAGUGGCGGACGGGUGAGUAAUGUCUGGGAAACUGCCUGA
rnacentral:rRNA from 1 species